rnacentral:rRNA from 1 species
AGUGCACGCUGGCGGUAGGCCUAACACAUGCAAGUCGAACGGCAGCACAGUAAGAGCUUGCUCUUACGGGUGGCGAGUGGCGGACGGGUGAGGAAUACAUCGGAAUCUACUUUUUCGUGGGGGAUAACGUAGGGAAACUUACGCUAAUACCGCAUACGACCUACGGGUGAAAGCAGGGGAUCUUCGGACCUUGCGCGAUUGAAUGAGCCGAUGUCGGAUUAGCUAGUUGGCGGGGUAAAGGCCCACCAAGGCGACGAUCCGUAGCUGGUCUGAGAGGAUGAUCAGCCACACUGGAACUGAGACACGGUCCAGACUCCUACGGGAGGCAGCAGUGGGGAAUAUUGGACAAUGGGCGCAAGCCUGAUCCAGCCAUACCGCGUGGGUGAAGAAGGCCUUCGGGCUGUAAAGCCCUUUUGUUGGGAAAGAAAAGCAGCAGGUUAAUACCCCGCUGUUCUGACGGUACCCAAAGAAUAAGCACCGGCUAACUUCGUG